rnacentral:rRNA from 1 species
UACGUAGGGGGCAAGCGUUGUCCGGAUUUAUUGGGCGUAAAAGGCUUGUAGGUGGCCACGCCAAGUCGGAUGUGAAAUCUCCCGGCUCAACUGGGAGGGGUCAUUCGAUACUGGCGGGCUCGAGGCCGGUAGGGGGAAGUGGAAUUCCCGGUGUAGUGGUGGAAUGCGUAGAUAUCGGGAGGAACACCAGUGGCGAAGGCGGCAUCCUGGACCGAUACUGACGCUGAGGAGCGAAAGCCAGGGGAGCAAACGGG